UGUCUUUUUGAAAAUAAUAUAAAGUCUAAUCUGCCCACUGAUUUUAUAUUAAAGGGCUGCAGUAUUUUGACUGUACAAAGGUAGCAUAAUCAUUAGUCAUUUAAUUGAUGACUUGUAUGAAAGAUUGGAUGAAAUAUAAACUGUCUCUUAAUUAUUUAUAUAAAAUUUAAUUUUUUAAUUAAAAAGUUAAAAUAAUUUAAAAAGACGAGAAGACCCUAUAGAGUUUUAUAUUUAAAUUAAUUAAGAUUAUUUAAAAUUUAAAAUUAAAAUUAAUUUAUUUAUUAUAUUGGGGUGAUAGAAAAAUAUAUAUAACUUUUUUUUUUAUGUAAAACAUUUAUAAGUGAUUAGAUGAUCCAAUAAUAUUGAUUAUAAGAAAAAGUUACCUUAGGGAUAACAGCGUAAUUUUUUUUUUUAGUUCACAUAAAAAAAAGAGUUUGCGACCUCGAUGUUGGAUUAAGAUAAAAUUUAAAUGUAGAAG
rnacentral:rRNA from 1 species